UCAAAGGAUAUGGAAUCAGGGACAUGGGAGAUCCCAAAUUCAAAGUCGGGGCCUUUAUUGGAGGACAAAAUUCGAUUGGGAAGUGCACACUUAGGAUCACUACUUCAGCAGUUGGAUGCAAUUUUCGCGGCCAGUGCUGUGUUCGUAAGGAGAAAUCCAACGGCGAAAUUGUGGUCUCUGGUUUACCUUGUAUGCCUACACUUUUGGGUCAUUUACAUUCUUUUUACACAUUCACAAGCAUCAAAUGAGGGCAGAUCUGGAGCUAUUAUAUCCUUGGAAAACAUCAACAAUACUGCAGAUGUAUAGUGUGUCUUCGGGCAACUACUUUAACCUAGACCUUAUAUAAAAAGCAAGCCUAGCAGCCUUUUAUAUUCAAAUAUUUGUAUUCAGGUCCGUGCAUUUGUUAUUUCAAUUAUGUGUAUACCUAAAUUGACUUUACACGAAUCUUAAUAUAAAUAUUUGAUCUAAAAAUUAAUAGCUUCGUUCUUAUAUAA
rnacentral:misc_RNA from 1 species